rnacentral:snRNA from 1 species
GUGCUCACUUUGGCAGCACAUAUACUAAAACUGGAAUGAUACAGAGAAGAUUAGCAUGGUCCCUGCGCAAGGAUGACACGCGAAUUUGUGAAGCAUUCUAUAAAAUA